rnacentral:rRNA from 1 species
GAUGAACGCUGGCGGCGUGCCUAAUACAUGCAAGUCGAGCGAACAGACGAGGAGCUUGCUCCUCUGACGUUAGCGGCGGACGGGUGAGUAACACGUGGAUAACCUACCUAUAAGACUGGGAUAACUUCGGGAAACCGGAGCUAAUACCGGAUAAUAUAUUGAACCGCAUGGUUCAAUAGUGAAAGACGGUUUUGCUGUCACUUAUAGAUGGAUCCGCGCCGCAUUAGCUAGUUGGUAAGGUAACGGCUUACCAAGGCAACGAUGCGUAGCCGACCUGAGAGGGUGAUGGGCCACACUGGAACUGAGACACGGUCCAGACUCCUACGGGAGGCAGCAGUAGGGAAUCUUCCGCAAUGGGCGAAAGCCUGACGGAGCAACGCCGCGUGAGUGAUGAAGGUCUUCGGAUCGUAAAACUCUGUUAUUAGGGAAGAACAAAUGUGUAAGUAACUAUGCACGUCUUGACGGUACCUAAUCAGGAAGCCACGGCUAACUACGUG